rnacentral:tRNA from 1 species
GGGCGGGUAGCUCAGCCGGCCAGAGCGCUUGCCUUACACGCGAGUGGUCGUGGGUUCGAGUCCCACCCCGCCCA